GAUUUCUGGCUCGGAGCAUCUGGCCCGCCUCGAAAGAGUGUGUGUUGUCGGUGUGCUCCGGUCAUCCUUCUGGAGAACAUCUCUGCCCUUCAUUGGGUCGGGGGUGGGAUCCAGAUCGUUUACUUUGAAAAAAUUAGAGUGUUUAAAGCAGGCUUUUGCUAUGAAUACAUUAGCAUGGAAUAAUAAUCUAGGACUUCGGUUCUAUUUUGUUGGUUUCUAUAACUGAAGUAAUGAUUGAUAGGGAUAGUUGGGGGUGCUAGUAUUGGCCGGCCAGAGGUGAAAUUCUUGGAUUCGGUCAAGACUAACUUAUGCGAAAGCAUU
rnacentral:rRNA from 1 species